ensembl:lncRNA
UUUAAUAUUUCUGUGAUGCUUUUUUUGCAGCUGAACUCCUCUAAUCUUUCUCUAACUCUGUACUUCACCAGUAUCAUAUUCAUUCUCUUUUUUGAUAUCAUAGUUACGGAUUUUCCUCAAGUUUUAGAAGCAUUUUUUAGGCCGUUUAUUUUGAUUAGACUGGGAUUGAUUUCUCUCUUCUCAGUCCAGCUGUUCUCUUGGUUGUGCUGCUUCCAGUAGUGUAUGUUUAUAUUAAAGCUUUUAUCCAAUCAUAUUUCAGCUAUCAUGUGUUGCCAGGGUCAAAGGGUGUUGCUAUGGCGCUCUGAGGCGUUUCUAGGGCAUUGCUAUGGUGUUCUAAAGGGUUUCUAGGGUGUUGCUGUCGUGUUCUGAAGGGUUUCUAGGGUGUUGCUGUGGCAUUCUGAGGGGUUUCUAGGGUGUUGCUAUGGUGUUCUGGGGGGUUUCUAGGGUGUGGUUAUGGCAUUCUGAGGGGUUUCUAAGUGAUUUCUAAGGUGUUGCCAUGGUUUUCUCAGGGGUUUCUAGUGUGUUGCUAUAGCGUUCUGAGGGGUUUCUAAGUGAUUUCUAGGGUGUUGCUAUGGUGUUUCGAGGCUUUCUAGGGUGUUGCUAUGGCAUUCUAAGAGGUUUCUAAGGUGUUGCUAUGGCAUUCUGAAGGGUUUCUAGGGCAUUGGUUUGGCUUUCUGAGGGGUUUUUAGGGCAUUGCUAUGGCAUUCUGAUGGGUUUCUAGGGUGUUGCUAUGGCAUUCUGAGGGGUUUUUAGGGCGUUGCUAUGGCAUUCUGAGGGGUUUCUAGGGUGUUGCUAUGGUGUUCUGAGAGGUUUCUAGGGUGUUGCUAUGGUGUUCAGAUGGGUUUCUUGGUGGUUUCUGUGGUGUUCUAAGGGGCUGCUAGGUGAUUCAUAUUUUGGGAUAAUUUUAGGAGAGUGUUCAAAUCACUAACCUCGAGCAUUAUUUUUGUAGUAAUGAUUACCUAACAAUCGGCACUAGUUUGUUUCUAAAGGCAGUGAGGUUUCAUCAGAUGGUCAUUGAUGUCUGGUUUC